rnacentral:rRNA from 1 species
AUUGAACGCUGGCGGCAGGCCUACCACAUGCAAGUCGAACGAGUGGCGGACGGGUGAGUAAUGUCUGGGACACUGCCUGAUGGCGGGGGAUAACUACUGGAAACGGUAGCUAAUACCGCCUACCAUCGGAUGUGCCCCGAUGGGAUUAGCUGGUUGGUGGGGUAACGGCUCACAAAGGCGACGAUCCCUAGCUGGUCUGAGAGGAUGACCAGCCACACUGGAAGUGAGACACGGUCCAGACUCCUUCGGGAGGCAGCAGUGGGGAAUAUUGCACAAUGGGCGCAAUCCUGAUGCAGCCAUGCCGCGUGUAUGAAGAAGGCCGUCGGGUUGUAAAGUACUUUCAGCGGGGAGGCGGUACCCGCAGAAGAAGCACCGGCUAACUCCGUGCCAGCAGCCGCGGUAAUUC